rnacentral:rRNA from 1 species
ACUCAAAGGAAUUGACGGGGGCCCGCACAAGCGGUGGAGCAUGUGGUUCAAUUCGAAGCAACGCGCAGAACCUUACCAACCUUUGACAUCCCGGUCGCGGACACCAGAGAUGGAGUCCUUCAGUUCGGCUGGACCGGAGACAGGUGCUGCAUGGCUGUCGUCAGCUCGUGUCGUGAGAUGUUGGGUUAAGUCCCGCAACGAGCGCAACCCUCGCCCUUAGUUGCCAUCAUUCAGUUGGGCACUCUAAGGGGACUGCCGGUGAUAAGCCGGAGGAAGGUGGGGAUGACGUCAAGUCCUCAUGGCCCUUACAGGUUGGGCUACACACGUGCUACAAUGGCGGUGACAGUGGGAUGCAAUGGCGCGAGCCUGCGCAAAUCUCAAAAAGCCGUCUCAGUUCGGAUUGGGGUCUGCAACUCGACCCCAUGAAGUCGGAAUCGCUAGUAAUCGCAGAUCAGCACGCUGCGGUGAAUACGUUCCCGGGCCUUGCACACACCGCCCGU